rnacentral:rRNA from 1 species
UACGAAGGGGGCUAGCGUUGCUCGGAAUCACUGGGCGUAAAGGGUGCGUAGGCGGGUCUUUAAGUCAGGGGUGAAAUCCUGGAGCUCAACUCCAGAACUGCCUUUGAUACUGAGGAUCUUGAGUAUGGGAGAGGUGAGUGGAACUGCGAGUGUAGAGGUGAAAUUCGUAGAUAUUCGCAAGAACACCAGUGGCGAAGGCGGCUCACUGGCCCAUACUGACGCUGAGGCACGAAAGCGUGGGGAAGCAAACAGGGAUUAAGAAACCCCGGAUA